GGCACUGCCGGGCAGCCACGCUGCUGCGGAUAAGAGCUGAAAGCAUCUAAGCUCGAAGCCGCUCCCGAGAAGAGGCGGCCAUUCCUUG
rnacentral:rRNA from 1 species